UUGUCAAAACCUGCCAAGCAGAACGACUCGAGAACUAGUUUCAAAGCGGGGGGCGAGGGGUCUUGCGGCUCCUUGUCCCUUUAUCUCGGGGGGGUUGCGUUGCGCUUGCACAGCAGACCCUUCCAGGCGUACAAACAAACACCGUCGCGAAUUGAGCCAAUGAACUUGAAUGAGAGAGCGCGUCCCCGUUGCCCCGAAAAUGGUGUGCGUGGGCGGCAUCGUCAUCUUCAAAUAUGUGAAAACGACUCUCAGCAACAGAUAUUUCGGCUCUCACAUCGAUGAAGAGCGUAGCGAAAUGCCAUACUUGGUGCGAAUUGCAGAAUCCUGUGAACCAUCAAGUCUUUGAACAAGUUGUGCCCGAAGCCAUUAGGCCGAGGGCACGCCUGCCUAGGCGUUACACGUCGUUGCCCCCCAUCUACUCCUUCAGAAUUGCGGGGGGUGGAUGAUGGCCUCCUGUGCGCCUCGUCGCGCAGUUGGCAUAAUGACCAAGUCCUCGGCGAUGCACGCCACGACAAUUGGUGGUUAUGAAACCUCGGUUGCCUGUCGUGUGCGGUCAUUGCACAUCGAGGCCUUGAAAAAAUGCUUGGCUUCGGCUUGGCUUUCAACGCGACCUCA
rnacentral:rRNA from 1 species